CCUACGGGAGGCAGCAGUAAGGAAUAUUGGUCAAUGGACGCAAGUCUGAACCAGCCAUGCCGCGUGAAGGAUGAAGGUCCUCUGGAUUGUAAACUUCUUUUAUAGGGGACGAAAAAAGGGAAUUCUUUCUCGUCUGACGGUACCCUAGGAAUAAGCACCGGCUAACUCCGUGCCAGCAGCCGCGGUAAUACGGAGGGUGCAAGCGUUAUCCGGAUUUACUGGGUUUAAAGGGUGCGUAGGUGGGUCUGUAAGUCAGUGGUGAAAUCUCCGGGCUUAACCCGGAAACUGCCAUUGAUACUAUAGGUCUUGAAUACUCUGGAGGUAAGCGGAAUAUGUCAUGUAGCGGUGAAAUGCUUAGAUAUGACAUAGAACACCAAUUGCGAAGGCAGCUUACUACGGGGUCAUUGACACUGAGGCACGAAAGCGUGGGGAUCAAACAGGAUUAGAUACCCUGGUAGUCCACGCCCUAAACGAUGGAUACUCGACAUCAGCGAUACACUGUUGGUGUCUGAGCGAAAGCAUUAAGUAUCCCACCUGGGAAGUACGAUCGCAAGAUUGAAACUCAAAUGAAUUGACCGGNGUGAGAGUAGACGACGACGACGACGAGGGAGGAGG
rnacentral:rRNA from 1 species